ACGGUGACAAAAAAAGACUCGAAUAAAGUCUCUAUUAUAUCAGAACCUAUCUUAUACUAUAGAAGGUCACCCAUCUUUGUACUACUCUCUCCAACUAUCUUUUUGACCUUGCUUUCGAAAUUAAUUUUGCACAAUCCAACUUCUGUGUAACGACCCCAAAAAGGACCGUUACCGGCGCUAGGAUUCAGGUCGGCUUAAGGCCGCCAGAACCAGUAGCAAGCCUGCUAUACUCUCUGUGUACCUGUAAACCUCAUACAUGAUCAUACAUUUUCUGUGAAAAUAACACUCUUUGCUGAACCAAGGCUUAACCUGUGCAUGCACUAUCUCUGUACUCUGUACUCAUGUACUCUGUACUCUGUAUCCCUGACUAGAGCUUGCUCUAGAUGGGUAAACUCAUGCCUGUUAAGCCUGGUUUUCACAUACAGGAAAACAUAUAUACAUAUACAGAUCAUGUACAAAACAUACUUCACUAGGUCAAGCAACAACUAUGACAUCUCUUUAAUAUUACAUGUCCACUCUAAGCUAUUACAAAUCUCUUUACUUUUCCUGUACUCUGCUGGACUGUCCCUGUACACUGUACACUGAACCUGCACACUGAACCUGCAAAACUGGGGUUAAGGGAGUGGGAUGAGCUCUAUAGCCCAGUGAGUAGAACAGUAAAACAUCUCAGGAAAAUAUGAUCUCAUGGAAUGCACCAUAUCACAGACAAGCCACAUCAAGAGUAAACCUGUCACCACAUAGUCCCAGUAACUCUGUGCCAGGGCGUAGAAUCGAGCACCUGGUCUUCCUGUCAUAUAUGUAUAUGUGUAUAUAACACCUCUGUACUUACCAUUGCCAGGGCGUAGUCAAAGGCUCCUGGACUUUGCUAUACCUGCCAGGGCGUAGUCAAAGGCUCCUGGACUUCACUAUACCUGCCAAGGCGUAGUCAAAGGCUCCUGGACUUCCUGUCUGAGACUAUUGGAUCAUUCAGCAUUCACUCACAUCACCAAAUAACGAUGCAAUGCAACAUAUUCGUGAAAACUAAUGCAAUCAACCUAUGGCAUAAACAUGAUGCAUGAGAUAUGCUAAAAGCAGUUUGUGGUUCAAUUAAAAGUCAUAAGUUUAGUUCCACUCACCUCUGGCUAUCUGGACUGACUGACUCUGCAGGCUCUGAACCUCUGGAGCAGUACUCACUGCUGCUCUCUCUGGUUCCUCUGGUCUGUACCUAUACAGAUGGACUCAAAUGAGGGACCAAACAAGCGUAGAAAUAACUCUCUUAAACUUCCCCAAGAAUCCCCUUAAACUCACUCAACUAUCCAUGCAAAGCAUGCAAAAGAAAGCUGGACAGGACACUUUCGGCGGCAGGUUCGGCGGCCGAAUGUCCUCUCCAGAGACGAAACUCAAGCACCUUCGGCGGCACCUUCGGCGGCCGAAUCCCUCAAACAGAGCCGAACAUGCAAAACAGGCUGUGGCAGCCAAGCCACCAUGCAAGAGGUUCGGUGGCCGAAUGAACCUUCGGCUGCCGAACCUGAGUUCAUCCAGAACUCAGCUUUAACGGUAAACCAUCUUCUCCUUCCCUUCAACCACUCAAACCAUAUAUACACCAACUCCUCAACACACAUAUACUCACGUAUAUGAUCACAGGGGUCCAAAACUAUCUAAUAACCCCAAACAACAAAUCAAACAUAACACAGAAACAUGUAUACAUGCAUAAAUCAUCCAAACUCCCAUUUACACCUAAACAUGCAUCUCUCUCUCUCAACUUCCAUAAAACCUUCAGAAAACACAUAAACAGGUUCAAGAGCAUUACUUACCUCCUGUAACAAGAAGCUGAACACUUCUGAACUAAGGAAAACGGACCAACUCUCCUCAAACUCUCAAACUCUCACAAACUUAGCUUUUUGCUUCAAAACAUUCAAACCCUUGUGAAUGAUCAAAACACUCUGCAUGAGCUGCUCAAACUCAGCAAAUAAACCAGGGGAGACGUGGCCAACUUCUGGCAACAAAUUGGACAUAACACCUGUCCAAAAUGCUGACUAAGGAUGCCCAAAAGCUAGCUGGCCAACUCAGUUUCGGCUGCCCAAUCGCAUGCUAAACCAUGCAACAUUCGGGGGCCGAACUUACCUUUGGAAGCCGAACAUUGGGCACUUUCGGCGGCCGAACUUAUCUUCGGCGGCCGAACUUGGCUGAAGUCUCCAUGACCUAUUGUCUCUUCAAACUCAAAACUAUAUAACUUACAAACCUUAAAACACCUCAUAACACUUAGAAAACAAAAAUCCUACCCUUUUAUCGAAUCCCAGCACCCCGGAUUCCACCAGACAACAGGAAUUCCGGUGCCGGACUCAAGCCGGGUAUUACAUUCUGCUCCCGAGGUUGUAAUGCAGUAAUAGUAGCGUCAGGCUUGAAAUUGGUUUGGCACCAUUAGACGAAUUGUUUGUAGUCCACAGGGCAAAACCAUAUGCUUGCACCCUCAUGAGGACUUGCCUUCGCUCUUC
rnacentral:lncRNA from 1 species